GACGUAGGAGGCGAGCGUUGUCCGGAUUCAUUGGGCGUAAAGAGCACGCAGGCGGUUUGGCAAGUCGGAUGUGAAAACCCGAAGCUCAACUUCGGGCGUGCAUCCGAAACUGCCCCGACUAGAGGUAGGUAGGGGAGAUCGGAAUUCCUGGUGUAGCGGUGAAAUGCGCAGAUAUCAGGAGGAACACCGGUGGCGAAGGCGGCUU
rnacentral:rRNA from 1 species